rfam:Chlorocebus sabaeus isolate 1994-021 chromosome 13, whole genome shotgun sequence.
GCCUAUGGCUACUACUGAUUGGAUGGUUUAGUGAGGCCCUCGGAUCGGCCCCGCCGGGGUCGGCCCACGGCCCUGGCGGAGCGCUGAGAAGACGGUCGAACUUGACUAUCUAGAGGAAGUAAAAGUCAUAACAA